AACGAACGCUGGCGGCAUGCCUAACACAUGCAAGUCGAACGAGACCUUCGGGUCGAGUGUCGCACGGGUGCGUAACGCGGGGUAACCUGCCCUUAGGUUCCGAAUAACUCCCGGAAAGGGGUUCUAAUACCGGAUAAUUACUGGGUACCAAAGAUUUAGCGCCUUUGGAUGGUCGCGCGUUUGAUUAGCUAGUUGGAAGGAUAAAAGCAUGCCAAGGCUAGGAGCGAUAACUGGUCUGGGAGGAUGGUCAGGCACACUGGGACUGAGACACGGCCCAGACUGCUACAGUAGGCAGUGGGUGGGAGUCUUAGACAGUGGGCCAACGUGUAAUAAAGCAGUGCCAUGUGAGUUAUGCAGCUCUUAGAUGUGUAUAGCCCUCCUACCGCGGAUGAUGAUGACAGUACCGGGAGAAUAAGCUCCGGCUAACUCCGUG
rnacentral:rRNA from 1 species